AUUGAACGCUGGCGGCAUGCCUUACACAUGCAAGUCGAACGGCAGCAUGGAAGAGCUUGCUCUUCUGAUGGCGAGUGGCGAACGGGUGAGUAAAGCAUCUGAACGUACCGUGUAGUGGGGGAUAACGUAGCGAAAGUUAGGCUAAUACCGCAUACGCACUGAGGUGGAAAGCAGGGGAUCGCAAGACCUUGCGCUAUACGAGCGGCCGAUGUCAGAUUAGCUAGUUGGUAGGGUAAAGGCCUACCAAGGCGACGAUCUGUAGCGGGUCUGAGAGGAUGAUCCGCCACACUGGGACUGAGACACGGCCCAGACUCCUACGGGAGGCAGCAGUGGGGAAUUUUAGACAAUGGGCGAAAGCCUGAUCCAGCCAUGCCGCGUGAGUGAAGAAGGCCUUCGGGUUGUAAAGCUCUUUCGGCUGGGAAGAAAUCGCACAGGCUAAUACUCUGUGUGGAUGACGGUACCAGCACAAGAAGCACCGGCUAACUACGUGCCAGCAGCCGCUGUAA
rnacentral:rRNA from 1 species